rnacentral:lncRNA from 1 species
AACGCGCAGUUCCACCGGACUGGCAACGCUUCUACGAAUACUAUUACAAAGGGAAACUGUAGUACCUAUAUGGACUUGGCAAACUGUCAAGGAGAUGAGAUGGCAAGAAAUUAGAAUAACGAGGCGUGAACAAAGACAAAUUGGCACAAUUCUUUAAUCUAAAACAAACUUAUGUCUAAAGUUAGUAAAAUCUUAAUCUAUUGUUAGUUAAUGAUAAAAGUUAAUAAGCUAUUUUCUAUUAGUACGGUAAGAGUGAAUUAUUAUGAACUGAACAUGCUGAAUUUCUAUUCUAAACUACUUAUCUAUUAGCUUAACCUACACGAACGGCGAGCAAUUCAUUACGGCAGUUAAAUCUAAAAUCACACAAAUAAUUAGUUGGUAUCCAUGCAACAAUAACCGUCAGAGUAUCAAUUGUUGUCUGACUCCGAGCGCGUAGUAAACGAAUUUUAUAACCGCCCCCACAUUGAACUCAAAUAAACGGUUUAUAAAAACGGAAUCUGCUCUUUGUUGUAUGGUGAGCCAACAAAUUAUAAAAUUCGUUUAGUUCAGCCGAACAAAAUGUCUAGCCGCAAUACCAGCAAAUCAGGCGCAUACGGUGGAUCGAAAGGCGAUAGAUCGGAUAAGGAUAGAAGUGAUACUCCCGCCGGAGUAGGAAGCUUACCAGUGGUGACAAUUACGACGGAAGAAGUGGUGCAGACUCGCCCAGGAUGGUCUUGUAAAUCUUGUAGAGAACCCGACGAUAGUGCUAUGGUGCAGUGCGAUCUCUGCC